rnacentral:lncRNA from 1 species
CGUUUUUAUAAAACAAGUCUCUCUUUCAAAAAAAAACUCUAACCUUUUCGUUUUUCUUCACUCUUUCGCCUCUCCGAUUACCAGCACUUUUUGUCGGUGUCGUGAGAGGGCUUCUUUUUCUUUGCCUGUGGUUAGGCCUCAGCUCUGGUUCUUUUGGUGGCUUUGUCAUGCUUUCCGGCGAGGUGGCUUUGAGUUGUCGAUGGUGGAAGGUGGAAGUCGCCUGCAGAUCCAGAUCUGACGAGGACUAGGGUUCGGUGAUGCUUCCUCUUUGGCUUCCGUCGGAAUCCUCGACGUCUCCGCUGUUAUAGUUCUGGUGCUGCUCAGCCGUCGUCAAGGUGGAGAUGCGAGCCUAUGGGUUGCCGAGAUGCGUUAAGGAUUGUUGAGUAAGCUCGCUUUUUUGAAGACAUCAGCGGGUUUUGAAAAGAAUUCUUGGAGGAGUUGAUUUAGGGCAUUCGCGGAGUGAUGGCGUCUUCUUUGGUUGCAGGUUUUUGCGAUUAGGGCUUCUCGUUUUCCACCCAAUUUUACAGAUUUUGCCUUUUUGGAUCGGGUUGUGUCUUUCCAGGUUCAUUAUAGGUUACAGAUAAGGUUUUCUCACUUAUUUUUUUUUUUUCCUUUCUAGACUUUUAGUAUUUAAUUUCAAAUCUGCUUAGGUUUAAUAUGUGUAAUUGGAAAAAACAAAAGAAUUUUGAUAUGACAAUCCUUUAACAAAAAAAUAUAUAUAGAAAAAAAGAUAAGAAUAUUUUGGAGUUAGAAGGGAAAAGAGUUGAUGACAAAAAUAAAUCAAAAUAUGUAGUUUAGUUCUAGUGUCGUCAACAUGUCAUUAUCUAGAUUUAAAAUAUACCUGAUGAUAAAACAAGCUGAUUAAAUUAGAGCUCCACCAAAUAAUGAUGUCAUCGGCGGCUAGGUAAGUCACUAUAUAUAUUUGUUACUAAUUAAAAGCAACAUUGUAGAUGUUAACGUAAUCACGGUCGUAAUAUGCUCUAAUGAUGCGAACUCCGGAAAGCAGUGACAAAAGAUCCAUUACCUAACAAAAGUAGGAAACUCUAUUGUGAUUUGAACAAUCAUCAAACAGUUUAUCCCAUUAUAAUUUGUUCGCUAGAUAUAGAUAUACAGUUACGAAUCAAACAUAAUAAAAAAAAGGACAAAAGACAAAUCACGACCACCUCCCGUUGAAUUAUUUUUCAAGUUAAUGUCGACAAUCUUUGACAAAAAAAGUUAAUCCCGACAUUUAUGGUGUUAAAUUAUGUCUUAUAAAUCCGAUCAGGUAUUGUGAAUGUAUUGGAUCAUAUGUGAUACUUCACACUAUUUUAAUUCUACUAAAAAUAGAUGAAUCAACAAAGACAUAUAUCCGGUUGACAAUAUAACCUCGAGAAGAAAAUAUAUAUAUAAAACAGCUAAACGUAAUCGAUACAUUAUAAGGAUGUGGUGAAAGUCGACCUGACAUUUUUAUGAAGUGAUUAAUGAAUAUUGUGUACUCUAUAAUUCUAUAUAUUCUGAACUUAAAUCUAUGGCGAAAGUAUACUGAAUGGACCUGAUUUCGCAGUCUAGUUUCUAUUAUUUUUCUUUUUUACUUCUACCGUCACUAUUACGGUUUUUGCUUAAGUCUUUUUCUAGCCAUAUAUAAGUCAUUUAUAAAUUCAUGCAAUAUUGCAAUGGACAAUUUAUGUGUCUUCAAAUAUGACAUAUGAGGAGAUGAGAAAGAAUCGAAUCAUUGACAAUUAUUGUUUGUGUGAUUCUGCAGAAACUGGAGAACACUUCACGUUCUUUGCACACGUGUAUGUCCAAUAUCGCACGCCAUGUUAACCGGGAUUCCAAAUGUUUUAGAAUGUGUCCAGAGAUUACCACGUGGAAACCGGUUAGUAGAAAACCGGAAUCGAAAUAUACGCUUCUAAAAGUCAUCAUCUUGAUAGUUGAU